AGAGAACUCUAGAUCUCUACAGGUGAUAUUUCAAACCAGUCACACAAGGAUUGAUUGCUCAGUAAGUGCUACCAUACCUCCCACCUGAGCCUUUGGGGAGCAAAACGAAGUUCGAUUCUUUCCUCUACAUUUUUCACCACGUAUAUUCCAGAAUGUGUGUGUAUUUAUUCAUGUCUUCGGUCCAUUCAUCUUAAUACGUUGUGGCUUUAAGAAGAGCGGAACAGUUAUGUGCGGGAGGGAGCGCACGAUGAGACGAAUCUACGCUGGGGGAUGGGCUCCUG
rnacentral:lncRNA from 1 species